UAGAGGCAGACUUCAAAGCUUUGAAAACAGCACGGCUUUGACGACUAUCUAUAAGAACUUAUGAAUGCUAUCCGUCAACAGUAGGUACGCCGUUACAUCCCAUCCUGACAACCAUAACAACACGAAGUUGCAAUAUUAAAGACUCCAUGGCGUCGGUCUGAGAGAACGUGGAAACAAGAAACGACUAAAAUUGAAUGCUUCUGGUUCGUGUGCUACUUCAAGCCGCUAAAGCUAGCAGCCCUCCCCUCGAGCCCAGCUAAAGCUAGCAGCCCCCUGGUAGCCCCCCCCCCCUCGAGCUCCAGCUGUGGGGAGCUUGCCCUCUUUUUCAUGCACAGAGGUUCCUGUCAUCAUCCUGUACCAAGUUAGGCACUCACUUGAUGGAAGCGAGCAUACAAUUGUCAGGACCCGUCCGACACACCUCUACGUGCUUCAUAUAGCGCUAGGCUGGCCAUUGCAUAAGAUACCAGACUACGAUGGACACAAGGUAGCAUUUGGCAAGAAAAGGCUGUACAUUAUGUCAAAUCUGAAUGAUUAAAAAAUGCACAGAGUAAUGCACAAAUGCAACUUAGAUACACAAACAAAGCAGGCUUCAGAAAGUCAUUUCAAACUUGCUCAACACAGGUUUUCUGAUCUGCUGUAUAGAGAAUACAAAGAAUAACUGGUUUCAGAUGCUGCCAGUCAUUUUACUGAAACAAAGCCGGAAAUCAAACUUAACAUGUCACGCUUUUGAAAGUGACAGCAAAUCAACAUAUGGUAU